rnacentral:rRNA from 1 species
GACGAACGCUGGCGGCGUGCCUAAUACAUGCAAGUCGAACGAGAGCGACCGGUGCUUGCACUGGUCAAUCUAGUGGCGAACGGGUGAGUAACACGUGGGUAACCUGCCCAUCAGAGGGGGAUAACAUCCGGAAACGGAUGCUAAAACCGCAUAGGUCUUCGAACCGCAUGGUUUGAAGAGGAAAAGAGGCGCAAGCUUCUGCUGAUGGAUGGACCCGCGGUGCAUUAGCUAGUUGGUGAGGUAACGGCUUACCAAGGCCGUGAUGCAUAGCCGACCUGAGAGGGUGAUCGGCCACAUUGGGACUGAGACACGGCCCAAACUCCUACGGGAGGCAGCAGUAGGGAAUCUUCCGCAAAGGACGCAAGUCUGACGGAGCAACGCCGCGUGAGUGAAGAAGGUUUUCGGAUCGUAAAACUCUGUUGUUAGAGAAGAACAAGUGCUAGAGUAACUGUUAGCGCCUUGACGGUAUCUAACCAGAAAGCCACGGCUAACUACGUG